rnacentral:rRNA from 1 species
AUUGAACGCUGGCGGCAUGCCUUACACAUGCAAGUCGAACGGUAACAGGUCUUCGGAUGCUGACGAGUGGCGAACGGGUGAGUAAUACAUCGGAACGUGCCUAGUAGUGGGGGAUAACUACUCGAAAGAGUGGCUAAUACCGCAUGAGAUCUACGGAUGAAAGCAGGGGAUCGCAAGACCUUGUGCUACUAGAGCGGCUGAUGGCAGAUUAGGUAGUUGGUGGGAUAAAAGCUUACCAAGCCGACGAUCUGUAGCUGGUCUGAGAGGACGAUCAGCCACACUGGGACUGAGACACGGCCCAGACUCCUACGGGAGGCAGCAGUGGGGAAUUUUGGACAAUGGGCGCAAGCCUGAUCCAGCAAUGCCGCGUGCAGGACGAAGGCCUUCGGGUUGUAAACUGCUUUUGUACGGAACGAAAAGCCCUGGGUUAAUACCCUGGGGUCAUGACGGUACCGUAAGAAUAAGCACCGGCUAACUACGUGCCAGCCGCCGCGGUAA